GAUGAAGAACGCAGUGAAAUGCGAUAAGUAAUGUGAAUUGCAGAAUUCAGUGAAUCAUCGAAUCUUUGAACGCACCUUGCGCCCUCUGGUAUUCCGGAGGGCAUGCCUGUUUGAGUGUCAUGAACACCUCACCCCCUCGGGUUUCCGAUUGGGUGGAUUUGGGUGCUGCCAGUUACAUGGCUCGCCUUAAACGCAUUAGCGGUUGUUGACGUAAUAAGUUUCGUCUUGUCGACCGCUUCUAAUCUCCUUCGGGAUGUCUUUCGGGACACUUCAUGAUCUGACCUCAAAUCAGGUAGGACUACCCGCUGAACUUAAGCAUAUCAAUAAGCGGAGGA
rnacentral:misc_RNA from 1 species